GUGCUCAUUUCGGCAGCACAUAUACUAAAACUGGAAUGAUACAGAGAAGAUUAGCAUGGCCUCUGCGCAAGGAUGACAUGCAAAUUCGUGAAGCAUUCCAUAUUUUU
rnacentral:snRNA from 1 species